rnacentral:tRNA from 1 species
GCUGGAUUAGCUCAGCCGGUAGAGCGCCUGAUUCGUAAUCAUGAGGUCGGGGGUUCGAGCCCCCCAUCCAGCUCCA